rnacentral:rRNA from 1 species
GACGAACGCUGGCGGCGUGCUUAACACAUGCAAGUCGAACGGAAAGGCCCUGCUUUUGUGGGGUGCUCGAGUGGCGAACGGGUGAGUAACACGUGAGUAACCUGCCCUUGACUUUGGGAUAACUUCAGGAAACUGGGGCUAAUACCGGAUAGGAGCUCCUGCUGCAUGGUGGGGGUUGGAAAGUUUCGGCGGUUGGGGAUGGACUCGGGGCUUAUCAGCUUGUUGGUGGGGUAGUGGCUUACCAAGGCUUUGACGGGUAGCCGGCCUGGGAGGGUGACCGGCGACCUUGGGACUGAGAUAGGGCCCAGAGUCCUACGGGGGGCAGCAGGGGGAAAUAUUGCACAAUGGGCGGAAGCGUGAUGCAGAAACGCUGCGUGCGGGAUGACGGCCUUCGGGUUGUAAACCGCUUUAGCCUGUGACGAAGCGUGAGUGACGGUAAUGGGUAAAGAAGCACCGGCUAACUACGUG